UAUGGAGCUUAAUUAAAGAUUUUAGAUAAACUUUUUUUAAAAAAUUGUCUAUUUUCUAAAUUUUGUUGGGGCGACAGAGAGCUAUAAAUAACACUCUUUUUAAUAAACAUCUAUGAAUGAAAAAUUGAUCCCAAAAGCUGGAUUAAAAGACUAAGUUACCCUA
rnacentral:rRNA from 1 species